CCCUUAGAUGUUCUGGGCCGCACGCGCGCUACCCUGAUGCAUUCAACGAGUCUAAAACCUGCUCUGAUAGGGGUGGGUAAUCUUUUGAAUGUGCAUCGUGAUUGGGAUAGAUGAUUGAAAUUUUUCAUCUUCAACGAGGAAUGCCUAGUAAACGCAAGUCAUCAGCUUGCAUUGAUUACGUCCCUGCCCUUUGUACACACCGCCCGUCGCUCCUACCGAUUGAAUGAUCCGAUGAAUAUCAUGGAUUGAGGAUGCAAGUAGGUUCACCUAUCUUCAUCUUCGAGAAGUGAAGUAAAUCUUAUCAUUUAGAGGAAGGAGAAGUCGUAACA
rnacentral:rRNA from 1 species